rnacentral:tRNA from 1 species
CGGGGCGUAGCGCAGUCUGGUAGCGCACUGGUAUGGGGUGCCAGUGGUCGGAGGUUCAAAUCCUCUCGCCCCGACCA